GUACUACUCCCUCCGUUCGGAAUUACUUGUCGCGGAAAUGGAUGUAUCUAGACGUAUUUUAGUUCUACAUACAUUCAUUUCCAAGACAAGUAAUUCCGAACGGAGGGAGUAGUUC
rnacentral:pre_miRNA from 1 species